GGCCUGGUGGUCUAGUAGUAUGAUUCCUUCUCAGGGAUUCAUCGACAUUGGAGGAGGUCCCGGGUUCAAUUCCCGGUCGGGCCC